rnacentral:tRNA from 1 species
AGAAACUUAGGUUAAACAAACCAAGGGCCUUCAAAGCCCUAAAUAGGCUACUCCACCCCCUAGUUUCUG